CUUCCCCCUCAAGCCCUUCCUCUUCCUUUCUUUUGCUUUCUGGUCAUCAGCCUCUCCAGGGGGCCUGUAUUUCCAAGAUCAUGAUCCUCUUCCUCUAUCUUCAAAGCCAGCAGCAGCUAGCAUCCUCCCAAUCUCUUUCUGAGCUCGACACUUCUGCCUUCCUCUUCCACUGUGAAAGACUCCUGUGAUUGCAUUGGGACUAUCAGGACAACCUCCAUAAUUUAAGACAAAGGAACUGAGACACAAAGAGAGUCCCACAGCCAUUAAACUAGUACACGGCAGCACUAGUAUUCAUACCCUGGCGGUCUGGUGACAGAAUCUAUUCCCUAGCCAUUACGCUUCUUCCUGUAGAAGGCAGCCAGUGCAAACAAUCCUCCUAACCACAAACCUAUGGCUGUUCUCCACUGAAGAGGGGAGCGCUGUCCCUUUCAGCAUCACGUAUGAUCACUAUCAAGGAUGAGGGGUAGUGCCGGAAGAACAGAGCUUAGAGAAAAAGAGAUUUCCACUUAAGCAGAGAUUUGAACAAAAGGAUUUGGAUGCAGAGAUGAGUAAUUCCUUUAAUCAAAUGAGAUGAACAACUCUCAAAUUUGGAGAGGCUUUAGUAAUUCCAGAUACAAUUUUUCAUUUUUUUCUCCAACACAAAUCAACUUGUAUUAAAAUAAUACUUUCCAAUUCAAAUAGAUAAAUUUUUGCAUUUUUACUGUUCCCAAACCACCGGCUUUUUGUAAACCACUGACUUAAAGAAUUUCUGCGUUUAGAACCAUCUGUAAACUAAAAGAAGUGUUCAAUUUCUACAGAAACUAUGCUAAUGGCUAUGUUCUCAGUAGGUUAUUUUAAACUCAUAAUCAUCCAAGGGAAAUGCUUGUUGGUAUACUAAGGUUGUGAGAAAAGGCCUACUUAAAUCAUAAGGUAGCUGAUACUUAUACACAUCUACACUACAAAGUAGCAAACAUCAGUACUCUUUCAGUAAUAAAUUUUGUGAAGUUUAAAAUUUGGUAUUUAAACUUUGUAGAGUAUUGAACUCAAAUAAUGGAUAGAAGUUGUAUUUAAUUGCAUUAGUACAAAAGAUCUCUGCAGGAAAAGAGAAGAACAUACAUAAAAAAUCAUAAAAACUCUACAUAUUAACUUGCUGUGCAGUCUUGAGCAAUUAUCUUCAGUUUUAUUAUUUGUAAAACAGACAUAAUAGUAGUAAUACCUAUCUUUUUAGGUUAGUGUGAGGAUUAAAAGAAAUAUGCAUGCAAACUGGCUAAGAACAGUUCUUGGCACAUAGUAAACAGACUUUAAUAGCUAUUAUUAUACCUAUGUCUACACAUACAUAUAUUUGCUUAUAUAAUUAGGCUAAGUAUCUAGCUAAUUUCUCAGAUCUUUCUCCUCUUCUGUCGCAUGAAUAAAGAGGAAGAAUAUUGUCCAAUGCCUAUAUGCAAACAAUGUAUACUUAUGCAAUAAAAAUUCCAGGUGAUAGUCAUACUAAUAACUUCUAAUUUUUCAUUGUCAUAUUCUUGAAUUUGCUUCAUGACUCCCUAAUAUACAGUUUAAUAUGCUGUUUCAAGCCCUUCCAUUCUCUAUGUAUGUUCUUUGUGCCUCUUUUUUGUUUGACUUUCAUAAAGAUUUUUCUGGAAAUGUUCUAGAAUAUGGGAACAAAAAAGAUAGAUAUUCUUUAUGGUAUUAAUGUACUCAGACAUAAAUUAAAUUUAUAGUGACCAUUCCAGUAAAACAGUAUGCUUCUGACUAAAUCUCUUAAGUCCAACUGGCAUGUAGAUAUAAUCUGUAAAACCUAAACAGUGGAAAAUGCUACAAACAAAUAUUUCAGUUUAUUCAAAAGAGAAAUUGGAAGCAAAAGAAAGAAAGGAUUGAGGGUAAGUCUGUACAAUAAAAGCGGUUUAAAAAUAUUUCUGUAAAAAAUAGUUAAACAGUGUUCAUUGUUUAGGCAUGUGCAGUUGGGUAAGAAAAGUAUCAAAAAAAGGUAUUAAAUUAUCAUAAAAGUCAUCUAGGAGUUAUUAAAGGAGGGGAUUCUGGCUAUGAAGGACUUACAGAAAACAUCCACCCUGACUACUGACUUGGGUGGGGGAUUUCAGGGGUGAUGGCUCUAGACUAGUACUUAUUAACAAUUUAUAUAUAUGGCUCUCUUCAUUUGUGUUUUAUUUAUGGGUACCAGGGAUCGAACUUGGGACCUUACUCUUGUGAGGCAGGUGGCAGAACUACUGAGCUAAAUCCCUGGCCCCAUUUGUGUUAUAUUUAACAAUAAAACAUUCCUUUAAAUUCCUUUGUCAAAGGCAACAAUGCUGACUGUUACUUUUUUUUUGAUAUAGUAUUUUUAAUAGAAAGACAGGGCAAUAUGGCAGUUAAUAGCAACCGAUACUGUAAACUACAGUAGAUACAAAGUUUUAUAUAAAUGAAUUGCCAUUUUAAAAAGGCAACUGCUA